AGUUUUCUCUUGCUUAAGGCCAACUAAGAUCCAUGGCAAGUACAAGCGAUUCUGAAUGAUUGAAUACCCAUUAAUUGACCAUGAAAAGUUACCCAGAUCCAAGUCGUACCAUCACUCGAACUCAAAUGCCUCCUCAGAAUCUGAUAGGGGCAGAAGAGUGCAGAUCCCAAGCAUAUGCCCAUUGAGGCACACAUAAU